GGCGCUAUAGCCAAGUGGUUACGGCGACAGAUUAGAAGAGUUUCUAAGAGUAUCUGUUCCUCUUUGAGGGCGCAGGUUCGAAUCCUGCUGGCGUCG
rnacentral:tRNA from 1 species